GUAUUUUUGCAUGUUUACUGGACAAUUCUAUGUACAAUAAAAAUUUUUUGUUUUUGUUUUUGGUUUUUUUUUAUUGGUUGUUCAAAACAUUACAUAACUCAUGACAUAUCAUCUUUCAUACAUUUGAUUCAAGUGGGUUAUGAACUCCCAUUUUUACCCCAAAUACAAGUUGCAGAAUCACAUCGGUUACACAUCCACAUUUUUCCGUAAUGCCAUAUUAGUGACUGUUGUAUUCUGCUACGUUUCCUAUCCCCUACUAUCCCCCCUCCCCUUCCCUCCCCUCUUCCCUCUGUACCCCAUCAGCUGUUGUUCAAUGUUCUCCCUUGGUUUUUUUUUUCCCCCUUUCCCCUCUCCAUCUCUUAUAUGUAAUGAUGUGUAACAAUGAGGGUCUCCUUCCAUUUCCAUACAGUUUCCCUUCUCUCUUCCUUUCCCUCCCACCACUUAUCUCUGUUUAAUGUUAGUCUAUUCCAUCACCUUUUUUUUUAAUCAUAAAUUUUUAUAGGAAUGUGUUUAGCUCUCUCUUGCUGCACAGUCUCAAAGACUGGAGAAUGUGGAAGAUUGAGCCUCUGUGGGACUGGAUGUGUCUGACACUGGAAUCUAUCAUCAACUGAAGCUUUGGGUCCUCUACCUCUUCAGCCUCAAAAUCCACAAACCUGACAGGUAAGCAAGACAAAGGAUUAUUUGAAAAAAGAUUUCUUAUUGGAAAACUCAAGCUGUAGCUUCAUAGCAAUGAGGAUCUGGUAGCAGGCAUGGGGAGUAGUGCUCAGACCAUGGGCUGGGCUGGUCCCAGGAGGGAUCAGUUCCCAAUGUAGAAACUAUUCUGAGUGCUUCUGACAUCACUUAGCACCUGAAGAGAACCAUGUGGUCCUUAGUGAACCAGGCACAUUCCUUUAAGAUCCUCCCACACUUAUUCCAGGCUUCUCAUGUCCCUGCCCUGAACCACACAGAAAAGCCAAGCAUCAGCAUCUGGUCAAAGAUAUGAUUUAUGUAAGACAACUUUCUCUCUGAAUGCUGGGGUUAGGACUAUAUACCAUAGAUGAAAGACCAAGAACACAAGACUCAGGAGAGGUCAUGCGAAAGUCCAAGCUGUGCUGAAAGUAGUGGAACACUGGGUUCCCACCCCAACCCACCUUCCAAAGAGGGCUGUAUUUCAUUUGUUUGAAUGGCGAGAGUUACAUGGAUUACGAGGCCAGAGGUGUGUGCUUGGGGCAUCUGAGACACUGGCGUUCCCUGAUCAUGUUUUUUGAACUCUAAAUCUUUCUGAAACAUCAGGGUGUUAUUGUGGCAUUGUUCAUGAGCAGGGGUGAUCCAUAUGCUAGAAGAUGCUUUAUUUUCCAGGUGGUUGGCCAACCCCAAGGUAGUGAAACUUGUACCCUGUGAACAGACCUCACUGAUGGUGGACACCCCAUGAGCUUGGCUGGUUACUGCCCUACACCCUAACCCUGAACCUCUAGGCAGUGGUGGAACUAAGAACGUUGAGGUCAGAGCUUCUGGGACUAUUAGAGAGUGUCCAGCACUCCAGGUAGAGGGAAGUAAUGCUUGGAGAUGUAAGGGUUCAGUGGUUUUCUCUGUGGUAGCAGAUGCCUUCCUGGCUGGGUGAGAAACUCCAACAGAGCCAGCUGUUCAACCCAUGUUCCCUAGCACUUAGGCCUAGCCCCAGAUAUCUGACACACUUUUCUGCCAUCUCAUAGAUCAUCUGAUCAAAGGUAUGCAUUGACAUUCCUGAAGACCCCUCCACAAUCCCUCCUCCAGAGUCAUGGUAGGCUCCAGUCCAGAUAGGGGCCAAAGCACUGGCCUGGGUUCAUCAGGAUCAGUCACAAUCCACAACCCACACUUCAUUGCAAGUUGACCUGACCCAACACAGGCCUUGCCUUUGCCUCUUCUGUCCAGUCACUUUGACUACCCCAUGUGGGCUCCCUGCAUCCAGGACAUGCUCUAUAUACUAGAGAGAACAUCAAGUACCAUACUGGAAUCUGAUUUCUCUUGAGUUCUUGAUGUUUUUGUGUAUUGUGACCUGAAAGUUUUGGCCUGCAGAAUGCAUGAGUGAAUGCCCUAACCUCCAUGAGAUGGUGGCUUCAGUGGCUCUUAGUAUUUUAAUGAUGUCAUCAGGGUAGAGUUCCCAUGAUAGUACUAGUGCCCUUCUAGAAAAAAGAAGGGAUGCUAAAGCUCUCUUAACCAUAGGAGGUCACAGGCAAGGUAGCCAUUGUCUCAAGCCUGGAGGGAAGAACUCGCUGUCCACACCAUCUUUCUGCAGCUUCCCAAAUUCGGAACUGUGAGAGAUGAAUGCCUGUGGUUUCAGCUUCUCAUUCUGUAGCAGUACAUAUGGCAGCCUUAUUUGAGUGAGACAGAAUACAGAGUGCCCUGGGACCAGGGUUAAAGCCUGAGACAAUGAUGUACAUCUCCACUGAGGAUCCAAAUGGAAUGAGUACUCAUUCAUGAAUUCUGCACCACCUCAAUAUCCUAAAUAGAAAUUCCUUGGAACAAUGUGGUUGGGUGUCCAGAGAGAUCUAUUCUGGUGCCUCCCCCCGUAUCUCCAACACUAGUUGUGAUGUUGCCUGCCAUGAACAAUCAGAUCUAUGCUAGAAGGUGAAAAUACUAAGUGAGGGACAAUCAUGUGGAGUCAGAGAACCAAUUCUAAAUCCUGGCUCACAUUACUUCCAGGAACCUCCUGUGACCUUACAUCCCCUGAGUGAUGGUGAUGCUCAUUGAGCACUAAGAUUGCUGCACUCACAGGGUUGUGAUGGGCACCUGAGAUAAGGCCCAUUUCCUUCCCUGGUGUGAUGAACUUGGUUGGGAAUGUAGGUCUCUCAGCUUAUCCCUCCACCCUCAGGAUGUUCCCUCUAGUUUUCCUACAUCCAGCCUCCUUUCUCCAUGCCACACUUUUCCAUCCAUCCCCACUGUCCAGCAUCACUCAGUAGAGGAGAACGAAGCUGUCUUCAGAAACACUAUUUCCAGGCUUACUUCUAGAAACCUGAUUAAUGUCAGAGGGGCCUGAAGGCUCAAAAGCAGGUCUCUAUCCAACUAAGACAGGAGGGCUCAAAGUUGUCAAUAGGUACUUGAUAAAAAUUUGUGACCCUGAUUCUGAUGGCAUGGAACCUGGGUCCUAUGAAGAACCAUGGAGUUUGAUUGCACAUGACAGACCACAAACAACCUCACUUCCAAUUACUUUUGUGCAUGUCUGAAGUCACCCCAUUACUUUAUCUCACAAAUGACACUAAAAUUUGGCCUCCUUGCUAUUUAAGUAUUCUCCUUGGUAAACUUCCACAUUUUGUUGAUUGGCAAACCAUGUGAUGUGUAGCUUUCUUUUUUCCUCAUUGAUUUGUAGGAGAACUUGAUUACAUUACAUUUGGGCCAGCCACACUCAGUAUAGGUCAGGCUGGGAUUGGGGUGG
rnacentral:lncRNA from 1 species